rnacentral:snRNA from 1 species
AUCGCUUCUCAGCCUUUUGGCUAAGAUCAAGUGUAGUAUCUGUUCUUAUCAGUUUAAUAUCUGAUAUGUCCUCUAUUUGAGGACUAUAUAUUAAAUGGAUUUUUGGAGCUGGGAGAUGGAAUAGGGGCUUGCUCCAUCCACUUCAUGCAUCGACCUGGUAUUGCAGUACCUCCAGGAACGGUGCCCCAAGG